UGCCCAUUGGCCCAGUGGUCAAGGCGUCUGACUGUUAGUAAACAGCAAAAUCAGAAGAUCCCUGGUUCGACCCCAGGAUGGGCAG